CCCUUAGAUGUCCUGGGCCGCACGCGCGCUACACUGACAUGUUCAACAAGUUUCUCCUAGUUCGACAGGACUGGAGAUCUUUGAACGCAUGUCGUGAUAGGGAUAGAUCAUUGCAAUUAUUGAUCUUGAACGAGGAAUUCCUAGUAAACGCGAGUCAUCAGCUCGCAUUGAUUACGUCCCUGCCCUUUGUACACACCGCCCGUCGCACCUACCGAUUGAAUGUUUCGGUGAAGAUUCCGGAUAGGACUGAUUUGAUUUAUUUCAUUUCUGACCUAAAAGCUAUCUAAACCUCAACAUUUAGAGGAAGGUGAAGUCGUAACA
rnacentral:rRNA from 1 species